rnacentral:lncRNA from 1 species
AAAGAGAUAGAUAUUUACAGGUGUUCCUCAUUCUCCACAUCGCUGAAAAGCAACUCCUCAAUUUCAGGAUGGAAGGAUGUCAAUCUCUUUUCCUUCUCUGUGUGUGGGUAGUAGAGGUUUGUAUCAGCUCCAGGUGAGACAAUGUUGAAUUUUGGAUCAAAAACAUCAAUGCCAUGCACAACUCUGUAUAAUCCUGGCAUUGUGAAGGCCAUAUGGCUUUCAUAUUGCCCAACAGUGUCCUUGCUGAAAAAAAAAAAAAGAAACAAAAAAGGCAAUCAUUAUCAGAGGGAUUAAGAUGCAAAGAUUAAUUAGUUACAAACAAGGAACUUCAAUGUACCUUCCAG